rnacentral:misc_RNA from 1 species
AAUUUCAUUAUGUCAUUGAUGUUGAUGAGGAGUGAUUAAUUUCGUUUGCUGAUGGGGGCUUGGAAUUUGAGAGUUUAGUAGUUUCUUUCUAUGUGAUAUUCAUCCUGCCACUAAGGCUUUGUUUAGUAUAUGUUCUGCUUAAUAUAAGAUUCAUGAUCGUUAAUUUCACUUCUAGGUUUAUUUCAUGAAUGUAAAACAAAACUAUUAAAUAAAGAAAGCAUG